UUUCCUUACUCGCCGAACUCAUCCCGAGCCUUCACAUGCUGGCCGCCCUUCCCCCUUCCUCUCUUCGUUUCUCCUCCAUGUCUUCCCCAUUGACGGCGCCGCACCGCGUCAUUUCUUCUUCUUCCUCGCGGAUAAAGCAGUGGCCAAGGAGGAAAUCGGGGCACAUCUUCUCUCCCUUUCUUCUCCCUCAUGCCGAUUCCUCUCCAUCUUCUUCGAUCUUCGUCUAUUGUCCCCGCGGAGCGCCGAUCGCCGAUGUUGAUCCCCCUUCUCCGGCCAUGAGUGAGAAGCUAACUCUCUCUCCCAGCCUUCUCGUGCCAUCAUUCGUCGACGCGCGACCUAAUUCUAGCUGAGCAUCCGCGUUCUUUUGGGUUGUUCCCUAGCUCCCAAUCUCGCCGGUCAAGUUUCUCAUCACCUCUGUUGCCUUGAUCCGCUGGAUAUCGCUACUUUCUGUCGCUAUUGAGCAGCACCGGCGAUUCCUUGGAUUUCUAAUCAGAGCGGUGAGUCCUUGGAUUCCUUAUCUCCACCGCAGGGUUUCCUUCGCUGGAAUUGUAUCGUGGUCAUCGACUUUGACUCUCGGUCGCUGUUGGAGCUUUUUUUGCUGUCAGCGAUCACACUCAGCUUCGAUGCUACUGUUCGCCAUCGAUUCAGAGCGUCGACCAUUAUCACCAGCUGUGCACCAUCUCCGGUUGUGGGACACUAGCGAUCACCUUAAAGAUUAGGACUCUGUUGAGACGACAUCACGACGAGGGACCUAUUUCGGAUACGAUUUUCAUUUUGAGACGGGAGGUCCUGGUGAGUACAGAUUCUCCCAUUCCUUUCAGUUUAGCAUUUUUCAUUAUUAUUCCAGGAGACUGUACGUAUAAUUGAUACUAUUGGUUAUUUCUUACUAUGCAUGUCAGCUUAGUAUCCGCUGAGUGUUGGACUCACCCCGUUGAUUAUUAUUAUUUUCAGGUUGAUGCUGUCAGGAGGUUCCAGUCGCUAGUCCCCCACCACUUGUCGUAACGGGUUCACGUAUUUUGGGGUUUCUUUGGUUUACUUGUUACAUUUUAUAUACUUGUGAUGUAUAACUGUACUCGUGGAUGUUUAUCGAGUUUUGGUCUACUGCCUUUAUUUUCCGCUACGUUGGAUUUUGUUGUGGGUUUAAGUUUUCCCUCGAGUAGUGGUAUAGGUUUAUUAAACUGUGUGGUUGUGAAUUUUUGUGUAGUCAGUCGGAGGCUGAAUUAUAUAAACUGCGUGAAUUGUUAGUUAUUCUUA